CCCCUCUUUGCCGGCCUAUAUAAGAAUUAUAUAAUUUUCUCAAGCAACUAAUUCUUGAUUUUUUUAGGGUUCAUAAAAUCAAGUUAGUUUUCGAAAAAAUUACACACCUAUAUAAAUCCUUACAUGAAAACCCAUGAACCAAAACCCUAAAAUUGUUUAAGAAUUAAUAACAAAGACUAAAUUGGUACCAUAUUGCCUAAUUGCAAAAGUAAACCCCACA
rnacentral:lncRNA from 1 species